AUUGAACGCUGGCGGCAUGCUUUACACAUGCAAGUCGAACGGCAGCGCGGGCUUCGGCCUGGUGGCGAGUGGCGAACGGGUGAGUAAUGCAUCGGAACGUGCCCAGUAGUGGGGGAUAGCCCGGCGAAAGCCGGAUUAAUACCGCAUACGACCUGAGGGUGAAGGCGGGGGACCGAAAGGCCUCGCGCUAUUGGAGCGGCCGAUGUCGGAUUAGCUAGUUGGUGGGGUAAAGGCUUACCAAGGCGACGAUCCGUAGCUGGUCUGAGAGGACGACCAGCCACACUGGGACUGAGACACGGCCCAGACUCCUACGGGAGGCAGCAGUGGGGAAUUUUGGACAAUGGGGGCAACCCUGAUCCAGCCAUGCCGCGUGCGGGAAGAAGGCCUUCGGGUUGUAAACCGCUUUUGUUCGGGAAGAAAUCCUCUGGGCUAAUACCCCGGGGGGAUGACGGUACCGGAAGAAUAAGCACCGGCUAACUACGUG
rnacentral:rRNA from 1 species